rnacentral:tRNA from 1 species
AUGGGGCUGGGGCUUGGUGGUAGAGCGCUUGCCUAGCACAUGGGAGGCACUGGGUUCGAUCCUCAGCACCAUG